rnacentral:lncRNA from 1 species
AGUCUUCCACUAGCAGCCUUUGGAUGAAGACAUAGAACUCUCAGCUCCUCCUGCACCAGGCCUGCCUGGAUACUGCCAUGCUCCUUGAUGAUAAUGGACUGAACCUCUGAACCUGUAAGCCAGCCCCAAUUAAAUGUUGUUUUUUAUAAGACUUGCCUUGGUCAUGGUGUCUGUUCACAGCAGUAAAACCCUAACUAAGACAGAAGUUGGUACUUGGAGUGGGGUAUUGCUGUGAUAGGCCUGACCAUGUUUUUCAUUUGAAAGAAUGUGGGUUUUGGGACUUUGUAUUUGGAAAGCAAUGGAAUGCUUUAAAUGGGGCUUAAUGGGUCAUCCUAGUAGGAAUAUGGAAGACUUAGCUGCUGGGAGUAAUUUGAACUGUGUUGACCUGGCCCAAGAGAUUUCAAAGAAGAAUUUCAGAAUGUGGCAUAAAGACUGUUUUUGUGGUAUUUUGGUGAAGAAUGUGGCUACUUUUUGCCCUUGUCUGAAAAGUUUACCUGAGGCUAAGGUGAAGAGACUUGGACAAAUUGCAUUGACAAAAGAAGUUUCAAAAGAGCCCAGCAGAGAAUUUGUUCUCUGGUUAAGUCUUAUGAAGAGAUGUUUGAACUAGCAUAGCAAGCUUAGAAAGG